UUUCGUUUUCUUCAAUAUUAUAUUCAUUUGGGGCGUUUAUAUUGGAUUGGUUCGACAAGGUCCCUCUUUCUUCUCAUCAUUUCACCUUUGCUAGACGUUAUACUCAAUGCAGAGUUCUCUAUGCUCGUGAUUGGUCUAUGCAGUAUCCUGACAACAGACCCUGGUUAUGUUACAAAUGAAUCUUCCCAUCAUAACCAGCUUGUUGAGAGUCCUGUCUCAGUAUUUGAAGCCCAUUCUGAGGAACUGGUGCCUUCAACUCGUGACGUUCCCUAUGAGUUUGUUG